rnacentral:rRNA from 1 species
ACGGGUGCGGAACACGUACGCAACCUUCCUUUAAGUGGGGAAUAGCCCAGGGAAACUUGGAUUAAUACCCCGUAACACUAUGAAGUGGCAUCAUUUUAUAGUUAAAGCUACGGCGCUUAAAGAUGGGCGUGCGGCUGAUUAGGUAGUUGGCGGAGUAACAGCCCACCAAGCCAACGAUCAGUAACUGGUGUGAGAGCACGACCAGUCACACGGGCACUGAGACACGGGCCCGACUCCUACGGGAGGCAGCAGUAAGGAAUAUUGGUCAAUGGACGCAAGUCUGAACCAGCCAUGCCGCGUGGAGGAUGAAGGCCCUCUGGGUUGUAAACUUCUUUUAUUUGGGAAGAAACCUAUCCUUUCUAGGGUAGUUGACGGUACCAGAUGAAUAAGCACCGGCUAACUCCGUGCCAGCAGCCGCGGUAAUACGGAGGGUGCAAGCGUUAUCCGGAUUCACUGGGUUUAAAGGGUGCGUAGGUGGGCAGGUAAGUCAGUGGUGAAAUCUCUGAGCUUAACUCAGAAACUGCCGUUGAUACUAUCUGUCUUGAAUAUCGUGGAGGUGAGCGGAAUAUGUCAUGUAGCGGUG